UACGUAGGGUGCGAGCGUUAAUCGGAAUUACUGGGCGUAAAGUGUGCGCAGGCGGCGUUGCAAGUCGAGUGUGAAAGCCCCGGGCUUAACUUGGGAAUUGCGCUUGUGACUGGCGUGCUGGAGUGUGGCAGAGGGAGGUGGAAUUCCACGUGUAGCAGUGAAAUGCGUAGAGAUGUGGAGGAACACCAAUGGCGAAGGCAGCCUUCUGGGCCAACACUGACGCUCAUGCACGAAAGCGUGGGGAGCAAACAGG
rnacentral:rRNA from 1 species